UAAGUACCUUCAUCCAAGGUUUCAUAGCGAACCAGGUCAGAUCGUGAUUGAAGCAGCCUUAAACUUUUUGCAACUUGUGGGUGGGGGGACUUAAGA
rnacentral:SRP_RNA from 1 species